CUCAGGGCAGUCAAGGAAAUUGUGAAUUGUCUGUUUUAAGAAGAAGAAAAAAAAGUGGCGACCUGACACCUGAGUGCUGAGUCCGAGACUGAUGAGCACGUUGUGACUUUGAGUUCAGAGCUUUCAUGUAAAAGAGGCUUACCUUUUUAUUGAGUGUGGAAUGUGGUCGGGGAGAAGAACAGUUUCCAACAGUUAGUCAGAGCUAUGUACUAGCUAUAUAGAUUAUAGCUCUGAGUUAGUUAGGUUACUUAUAAUAUUAAGUCACCAGCCAAUCCUAUCUGGAAUUUUGCUAUAGAUGAGACUAGACUUUCAGACGGUCGUCAACGUUGAGAAAGAAGAAGAAUCUGAAUCCAAAGUAGAGCCAGAAGAACCAACUACUAACAGUAUACCAAAAGAACUUAUUCCACACGCUCCAAGACUAGCAUUAUUGUGGCUUAUCAUUGUUGACUUACGAAUAAUGGUUUUGCUGGUGGAGUCAUCAAUGAGGAAAGCAUGGUACCUCCACUAAAUCGAAAUAUUCUUUACCAACCGACGUUAUUUUCAAUUUUGGCAUUGGACGGCCGGCACCAGACGUAUGUUAACCAGUACACGAGCAAUCCACUUGUGGCCAGUAAGCACCAGGCAUCGGAGGAGAAACACAGUAAAUGUUACUUGUCGCUCAAGUUUCCCGUUACCAAACCUUUAUCACCUCCAUCAUAUCAAAGGACUAAAGCAUCAGGUGAUGAAAUUCGUCUUUACGGUCAAUUGAGUUCGACCGUAUCACGAAUUGAAACAUCUAACCCGAUGUCGUUCAAAAUUUCCAUUGCGACCACAAGAAUAACUCACCGGCUUGGAUCUACUCAUUGGCCAGACCUCUGUUCAGGAAUGACACGUUUUUCCGCACAGACGGCCUCUAAUCGUUAAAGAAUUCGCUUUGUAAGGUCGAACGCUCAGCAUGUCUCGCUGAGAAGAAAGGAUGACCAAAGCCGGCAACAUGGGUAUGGAUUGUAAAACGGUCAGUGAAGUCGCCCCACCUGAUUACGUAAACGCAAGAUAGUGGAAGCGCCCAAAUCGUCGCAACCAACUGUCACAUAAGAAUGAAGAUGACUUGCAACUUUAGGGUGCUACUAACUAAGCAUUACCGCAAGAGGUUCGAAAAAUCUGCUGCCAGUACUACCACCUAAUCUUUUUCGACUUAAGUGCACAUUAGAGACUUUGGGAUCUGGAGUAAAUUGUCCGUCGAAUUUUUUUUAUAGCUCGUCCAGGGAGGAGUUCUGAUGAUGAUCUGAUGAAGAUGGUCUCGACCAGAGAAUGCAGUCCGAGCGAAAGCAUUGAAACUUCAGAUACUGAACUGGGAAGCCCGGCCAUAGAAUUCCGUCAACGCCGGAAUGGAUCCGAUGCCAGUUUCAAGUCGACGUCCAGCACGGAAUCGGAUUCAAUGCCGUUUGCCAACGACAACGCCGGUACCAUCAAACAGCGAAGUGGGCCGGCUCACUCGGCCCUUGCGGCACUGACGUACUCUUCUUCCUCUGUCGCCGUCGUUCUGUCUCCGUCACUCGGCCGACGGGCGCCAUCCCACCAGCAAAACCAACAUAAUCUCGGAACUAGCGACGUGUUGAACGACAUUGGCAACAUGCUAGCUGACCUGACGGACGAAUUGGGCUCUAUGUUCUUCGCCUGCCUUCCUCUUUCACCUUCGUGAGUGAUGAGCCGUUUCAACAACCUGCCGCGAGCAUAUCGAACCGGUGUUUGUCGGUCAUCGUGACGGGGCUACACUCGGCCGCCACCCUUCGCAUGAUCUAGAUACCAACAACUGCUGAACACGCACGCUUCAAGGAAUUGUUUGACUCGCAUUUUUCAAAUUACAUUCUGGCUAUGAACAUAAUAAAACCUGAUGGAUUUGCAAUUAUAUAGAUUCAUUAUGGCGCAUCCCCUAAAUUUGUUGCACUUUGCCAGAUUGGAAAAUUACUGUUUCACAGAGCACAGAUUCGAUGAAUUUUCCAAGAAAACCAGCAGAUGACAUAAUCCAUAAUAUUUCAUCUCCCUUUCAUCAUGUUGAGCCCACAACCCAAAAUGGAAGGUUCUGGGAGUGGUAUCUGACCAGAGGCCACGCUCUUACUUCAUUGCGCUGCAUACUGGGCCGUAAUUGUGCCAUCUAGUGUUACCGAGUGAACGGCAACCGUCGAUGACCCUCAGGGGCUAAUCGUACGAACUUAAGGACACAACUUCAGAGCGUGUGUCAGCUAGUCAAGAAUACCGGGGUUAUAUGGGUAACGAUCUUUAUAGAUAGACGUCCUUUAUAGCAACAGGACGCCUAACAGAUCGGGAGGUGAGUUUAGAAGUAAAUUGAGACGUAGAGAUUAGUAGUUGUGUGAGUAGUUAUUUUAGUGUGAGUAGUUAGUGGUUGAGUUAGCAGUUAGA
rnacentral:lncRNA from 1 species